rnacentral:rRNA from 1 species
UGAGUAACCUGCCCUUCACUCUGGGAUAACUCCGGGGAAACCGGGGCUAAUACUGGAUAUGACUCGAACAGGCAUCUGUUUCGGGUGGAAAGAUUUAUUGGUGGAGGAUGGACUCGCGGCCUAUCAGCUUGUUGGUGAGGUAAUGGCUCACAAGGCGACGACGGGUAGCCGGCCUGAGAGGGCGAUCGGCCACACGUGGGACUGAGACACGGCCCAGACUCCGUACGGGNGCA